GGUUUUGUAGUGUAGUGGUUAUCACAGCGGAUUCUGAUUUUCUUGGAUGUUCCGCUAACCCCGGUUCGAAUCCGGGCAAGACCU
rfam:Exophiala xenobiotica strain CBS 118157 unplaced genomic scaffold supercont1.1, whole genome shotgun sequence.